UACGAAGGGGGCGAGCGUUGUUCGGAAUCACUGGGCGUAAAGGGCGCGUAGGCGGCCCUCCUAGUCGCGUGUGAAAGCCCCGGGCUCAACCUGGGAACGGCGCGCGAAACGGGGGGGCUGGAGUUCGGGAGAGGAGCGUGGAAUUCCCAGUGUAGAGGUGAAAUUCGUAGAUAUUGGGAAGAACACCGGUGGCGAAGGCGGCGCUCGUGGGACCGAGAC
rnacentral:rRNA from 1 species